UACGGAGGGGGCUAGCGUUGUUCGGAAUUACUGGGCGUAAAGCGCGCGUAGGCGGCUCUGCAAGUCGGGGGUGAAAUCCCGAGGCUCAACCUCGGAACUGCCUUCGAUACUGCGGGUCUCGAGUCCGGGAGAGGUGAGUGGAAUUCCUAGUGUAGAGGUGAAAUUCGUAGAUAUUAGGAAGAACACCAGUGGCGAAGGCGGCGCACUGGCCCGGUACUGACGCUGAGGCGCGAAAGCCAGGGGAGCAAACGGG
rnacentral:rRNA from 1 species